rnacentral:lncRNA from 1 species
UGUGGAUGAGCUAAGUGAAGAGCCGCCUUCACUGUUAGUAGAAUUUUACAAAGAAAUGUUUCUGGUUGGAAGAAUGUGCCAAGGCCGCAUGAGUCCUGGAGGGUUGUUGGCACUCUCAGGGACUUGAAAUAAGAGGGAAAAAAACAACCCCACAGAACUACAAAAAAAGAGAAAAGACAAAGAGGACUGUUGUAAAAAUAAGAAGCUUUGAAGAAUCUGAAGCAGAUGUUAUGCUGGGAGCUAGUAUGUACUAUAGUACCACCUGUGCCCACUUAAUUCCGUCCAAAAUCAUUUCCUCCACAGUUACCAUGAAGAAAGACAGAGAUUUGAGGAUUUAAGAAUAUUUGGUGGGGCGUAAGGGAGGAAAAACGUGAGAGCAAUGCCUCUGGCUCAGAAGUGGGGUUCACUGUUAGAGAGGAAUAAUGGUUCACACCCAAUGGGCACUCCUGGAUCUGGAAUGAGGCAUUUUCUCUGCCCACAGCUUGACUGGUUGGCUGGACCACAAUGCACAGCUAUUCCACACAUCACACACCCGUAUAUCUGUAUAUAUACAUAUAUGUUAUAUAUAUGUAUGUAAACAUUUACAUAUAGAUGCAUACGCUUUGGUUAAGGAUAUGGUGUAGAAGCAAAAUUUGUGUAUGAAAAUAGUCAAGGACCAUUCUUUUAUUCCUCCAACAACUUGUUUUGCUGCCUUUAUUUCAUAGUAGUUCAAUGAUUCUGAGUUCAUCUCAGGUGACAUUGCUUUAACCCUUUCCUUACAGUGCCUUGUUCAUUUUCUGGCACAGUUCUUACUUGAUUCCUCCUGAUGAAGAAAGCUGCCAGGUUUUUUUUUUUUUGCUGUUGUUUUUAAUGGCUGCACCCAUGGCAUAUGGAAGUUCCCUGGCCAGGGAGUAAAUCCGACUUGCACUUGUGACCUAUGCCAAAGUUGCUGCAAUGCAGGAUCAUUUAACCCAUUGUGCUGGGCCAGGGAAUCAAAUCCACAUCUCCAUAGCAACCUGAGCCACUGAGGUUGGAUUCUUAACCCAUGGCAUCACAGUGGGGACUCCCAGAAAGUUACCAGUUUUUCUGUCUUUUUUUUGUGUGUGUAUGCUUUUUUAGGGCCACACCCACGGCAUAUGGAAGUUCCCAGGCUAGGGGGCUAAUCAGAGCUACAGCCGUCGGCCUACACUACAGCCACAGCAAUGCAGGAUCCGAGACAUGCGCUGCGUCUGUGAACUACACCACAGCUGGUGGCAAUGCCAGAUCCUUAACCUACUGAGUGAGACCAGGGAUCGAACCUGCAACCUCAUGAUUCCUAGUCAGAUCGUUUCCACUGCGCCACUACGGGAACUCCAGAAAGACACCAGUUUUAACUAGUUGGUUCUGAGUAUUAAAAGUAUUCUAUUGCUGAACCCAUAUAGACAUAGUGAAUUAUCUGAUAAGUAGUUUGAACUUUCUCUUCAAACACAAAUUGCCUGGAAAAGGAUUCAUUCCUCAGAACAUGCCAUCAUUUUUCUUCUAGAAAAGUUACUAGUUCCCAUUAAUGGGUGUAAAUCAUAAAAUCUAACUUCACCGGAAGAGAGACCAUUUUGGAGUUGACGUGGGUGACCCAGUAUUUUACCACACUGUGACAGUGGGAUCUUUCUGGAAAUUGAAUAGGAAAUAUCAGCUGACAGAAAACACAUCCUAUCUGAAAGCUCAGAUAAGAGUAAGUGGUGUCCCAGAUCUAUGAUUUGCUAGCUUCUUUGAUUGUUCUCUUGGCUUGGCAUAAUUCUUCUCUCUUUGCAGAAGAGGGCACAUUUUUCACAUUUUCUCAGUCAAUGUUUUCCCUUCUGACCCGUAGAGAGAAACUCGAGAUCAUUGGUUGCAUUUUCUACUUGAUUCUCCACAUUUAUGAUUUCCAUAGAGGGAAGACAAACACUUCAAAUGAAGACUGCAAGAUGAACUUUUGGAUAUGAAGCACAGAUUUCUUAGUUCAUUCAUUUAUUCAUCUUCUUAUUCAUUCAAUAAAUUUAUGCAAGGUGCUGUGCUACAAACGGGAGGUAAAAGGAAAAAAUAGACACAUUUCCUCUCUCCCAAAGAUUACAUUCUAGUAAGAGACGAUAACCGGGGAUAGGGUUCCUAUUGCGAUCAUAACAAAUUACCACACAUUUAAUGGCUUAAAACUGUGCGAGUUUAUUACCCUAACAAUCCUGUAGGGCAUAAAUCUGACAUGGGUGUCAUGGGGUUAAAGGUUUCUUUCUGGAGGCUCUAGGAGAAAAUUUAUUUCCUUACCUUUUCCAACGUCUACAGGCCACCUUUAUUUCUUGAAUUAUGGCCCCCUUCCUCUGUCAUCAAAGCCAGCAAUGUCAGAGCAAGCCCUUCCCAUGUCAAAUUCCUUUGACCCUUCUUUUGUCAUCACAACUCUCCUUGAGCACAGCUGGUAAGGGUCCUUUGCUUUUAAGAAUCCAUGCGAUUAGACUGAAGCUACCAAGAUAAUUUCCCCAACUCAAGGUGCAGUAAUCACCUCUGCAAAGUUCCUUUUUGUCGUGUAAGGUAAUUUAUUCAUAGGUCCUGAGGAUUAGAGCAUAGGGAUUUGGUGGGCCAUUAUUCUGCCAAUGAAUAAAAAUAAAAUAGUUACAUAUUGUGGUGAGUGUUGAAAAACAAAACAGAACAGAGAGAAUGAUAUGAGAAAGAAUAAGAGCAAGGCGCCCACUUUUGUGUGGUUAGGAGAGGCAAAUCUGAGAAGGUGAUAUGUAAGCUGAGUACUGAGGGGUAAGAAGGAACCUCCUCUCUUUCAAUCAACGGAGCUUGACUUGGUGUGAGCCCCUUACAGAUACUCCCCUGGCCCACACCAGCUUGUAGCUGAUUAGCCCAGGGAUGGGCAACUGACUUAGCCUGGGUCCACUGAGCCCUUCUCUGGGAUUUUUAAGUUUGCUUUCUGGACAAAGUGUUUCAUUCCUGUCUGUGGUGAAGCUUGGAAAUAUGAAACUCUAGAGUGGUGUCACCAAUGUUUCUUGCCUUCUAGAGGACAUUGAUAUAAAAAAGGAAAGCUGACACGUAGAGUCAAACAGAGACAAAAGACAGUGAAAUCUUUUGCUCAAAGUAAAACUACCAAUUGUAUUAUUUAGGUUCUUUUGUUUUUAAGUGUAAGAAACUGAAAAAAACCUAAAGAUCUUAAGCAAAAAAAGGUGAAAUAGAACUCUUUGGUUCUGUGGUAAAAAGCCUGAUCUCUGAGAUUGGCUAUACCUAGGGGUACAAUAACCGGGUCUUAGAAAAAGAGCAUUGUCAGCUUUAGAGGUAAUCCCAAACAGAUUUCCAUAGGGCUACACCAUUUUGUAAUUCACCUGGCAGUGCAUGAGAUACAGCAUUGCUUAGGUUCCAACUAAAAUUUGGUACAGUGAGGCGUAAUUAUCAUCAUCACUAUUACUAAUCUGGUGAGUGCAAAAUGGUAUCUCACUGAGAUUUUAAAUUGGAUUUUCCUGACCAAUAUUAAGGACGUUGAUCACUUUUUGUAUGUUUAUGGGAAAGGCAUGAUUUUUUUUUCUUUUGUAAAAGCACAUCCCUAUGACAAUAUUGUAUAUUUUGGAAUUGAAUUCUUUAACAGUUUAUUUGUGCUGCUAUAUUGCACUGAGUGUGUGAGUUGCCUUUAAACAUUCUAUUUUAAUUUUUCUUAAAUUUUUGAAUAAGAA